ACGAAGUGAUUUAUUUGUUUUUUUGGCUGCCUGCAAGGAAUGGUUUUGAAUAACGCUUCGAAGUAUCUGCUCCGAUCCGAUGGGGGAGUGCGUUAAAUCGUGUUGCUAUUGCUGUGCGUCCUGCUACAAUACACCGAUCUGCUGUUUUGGAAGUCUGUGCUGUUUGCUGAUACCGCUACUUGGAUUGCUAAUCAUUCUGUUUGGGAUAGUGUUUGGGAUGAUCGUAGGGCUAGCCUGGUUAGCACAAAACCACACCGAACCGGAAUCUGUGAAGCGUAUGCUUGCAAUAUUGGCCAACAGUUCCUCCAAUGGAUCGUCGGACGGGCAUGCCAUUGCGGAGUAGAGAAAGUAGGGCCACGAUGGAUGUAGAUGUGCACGUUCUUAUCAUUCCAUUAUCGCUUCGUGACGGAGCAAAGGGACAGCAAAACAAACACAUCUGCUGGAGGUAGUAUUUGUUCACCGAAUGAUUGCAGAAGGUACGCUGGGACACCUUUGACUGAUAUUUAACUCAACGAGUGCAUUAAAUGAGGAGGUUCAGAGGAGAAUUUCUAAUUUUAACCCUCAGAAACAAGCGAAGCACACGUUCUCGGAUGGUCAAGGAAAACCCUGCGUACCCUAACCGCAAUGCGUUGCCGGCAGAUGCCAUCUUCAAGAUUAGAUUUCCCCGAUUGCCCACCGGCACAACCACAACCACAAAGUAUAGGAUAUAGGUCAGCAGGUUCGAAACACAAAGUAAGAAGGGUCAGCAUAAUUAGCAUGCAGAUUGCGAAUGCGCGAUCGACGGCCAGCCCGAAAAAGAUUGAUGAUGGUUUUCUGCACCGUUCCGUGACGGGGCCAGCGUGUGAAACACGCACUGGUACACUAGUCUUUAUCAGAUAAUCGAAGAUAGCGCAAAGAUAGUGAAGCUAAAGCAAAAAGCUUUGCAAAAGCUUACGACAAACGGCCCGCCGGAGGUAAAAUCUAUCCAGCAUUUCCAUCACUUUCGGUCGAUUUAAUUGAUCGACGGCUACGAAUCCUACGCUCCAAUUAGCCGAUGCACCAAGGCAAGCAUAAAACCGGCAGCAUAAUCGAAACCAAACUAUGUAUGCGCGCCCGCGUGCGUGUGUGUGUGUGUGCGCAAUAAUUUCGCCACCAGCCGGGUCUGCUGCACCACACCACACCGCCACUUUCACAUGACGGGGUAAGAGCGCGAUUUGUUUGCAUCUUUUCCCUCCUGCACGGCGUUACAUAAACGCUCCGGCAACACGAGCACCGCGUGUGGACCCCGUUGCAGUUCCACAAAUGCACCACAUAAAAUGGUACGAAGCAAACAGCAAACAAUUCAACGCGAAGGGGAGUUCCAAUUUCCCACCUUGCUGCGCGCACGGCAGCAUAGAACAGCAUGAGAAGCGGGGCACGCACUGCAGCACCCACCUUCUCAGCCCAGCAUCAAACCGAAACCGAUGGACGGAGCUCCCAUUUGGUUGUCAUUUCGUUGUGUGUAUCGUUUUUCUUUUUUUUUUCAUUUAAUUUAAAAUUUCAUCCCAGCUGUUCGGAAUGCGUUGCGUAGCGGCACGCAAUAACGGGGUGAAGAAAUGCCCUCCAAAAACCGACGCACGCUUUCCAAACAGCAGCGCCCCUAUUGGAUGUGUGCCCAUUAAUUUGUACGCAUAAUAUUUACGCAAAUUGGCACUUUCUUCCGCGCGCGCGGCCCCGUGAGUCAUGGAUUGACAUGAUUGAUUGGUAAAGUGGAUGAUGGAUAUCAGGAUCCGGCGUUUUGGGUGUGGUUAGGGAGAAAAUGUAAAUCUUAAAAAAGUUCCACCUCAACAUAAGGACGGGAAGUCUAGGGUGGAUAUUCCAACCAGGAGACCCCAAGGCGUAGGUUUCGAGUAGUCCGUUUACGUCAGUAAGUUUACUAAAAAUAGCUUAUAUUGUGCAGAAUUGCGCUGAAGGUUUAGAACCUUCCAAUUAGUUUAAAAGAACGAUCUAUAAUCAUGGCGACCGUACACUAGCACUACAAAUUAAUGGUGAUAUACUUUAACAGCAUUUUGACCUACAUUUCAUUGGAAUCGCCCUACGGCAACGAUAGCGAAUGUGCUUGGAAAGCAUGACCAUUAAAAUAUAAAUAAUUCACCCUUAGCAAGUGAUUUUAAUCCAUAAAAUUCGUACAGUUCGUUCUGCACCGUUUCUGCAAGGUCCCUGACAACAGCCAUUAUGCACGCAACGAAGGAAACAUAUUCAUUACAACAAGCCUCCUGCAGCGCUCUGCGUGUGUGUGUGUGUGUGUGUUUUGUAAGUGCGUAUCGACUUACACGUCAAUUACCUCAUUCAACCCGAUUGGGGUCUUCUGAGUCACUUGCAGCACAACGAGGAAGGAUCCCCGGUUGAAGUUGAAAUUGACCUCACACCGGUGGUACCGUGGCACGUAAAACACCAACGACGUCUUAAAUCACAGCAGAUCUUCAACGUAUUCAAACCGAGAGGGAGACCGGUUGCGUUAUAUGUGCGUCAUAAAGAAUGCAGUAACGUUCAGGCGGUGGGUUCCAGGGAGGAAACUCAAA